rnacentral:lncRNA from 1 species
AUGACACCGCAGCCCUCUAACCCUAACCCCAAGCGAGUGUCCGGGAAAGCGCGGCGGGAGGCGGGCUCUAGAAGGGCUCGAAUCGGCCGUGUCCUCCCCCGGCCCCAACCGCCGCCCGCUCUGCUUUCCGGGGCCUGGCAGACGACCGAGCGAAACACGUCCCGGGGUCCCGAUCACAGCCCGGGCAGCCGCCGCCGCCGCGGCCAGAGAUGGUCCCGGGCGCGCCCUCCGGAGCCCGCGGGAUCUCCUCGGGGGAGACAUGCCGGCGUGUUACCCCUGCUGGCCGGAGAGCGCGUCGCCGACGCGGGGCGGGCGGUGAGGAGAGGACACAGGACCCAUGGAGGUUCGCAUCCCGGCGCAGCACAACCGGGCGCUUUCUUGGCUCUCCAUCUCAACGAUCAACCCCCAUAAGAUGAGACUACGAAGGUAGCAUAAGACAGCAGGAGCCCCACCAAGAAAAAAGGAGAAUCGAGAAAGCCUGCUUUCCAAAAACGGAGGUGGGGGUGGGGGAAGUGCCUACGGAUCCUGGAGUCCAGCCCCUGUCAAGGAGGGGAAUCAAACUCCCAACCCUUGGUUCCACAGACAGAGACCUCAACUCUACUGAGCUAAAAGCAUAUUUAGAGCUAAGCAUGGCUGGAUAAUAGGGGAGGGGGCAUAAGCCCAAAGUCUGCUUCAAAGCAGUACGUUACAAUUUGUGAGAAAAAAAUGUCUAUAUUAUCAUUCCACGGAGAUUCUUUUGCAAGAAGAAAUGUGGAUUGUACAAUAUAUUCCUGCUGUUGGUAUAAAUUUAAUUGGUGGAGGGGAAACCCUCAGAGUCUACUACCUUUCCUCCCACUUGACUUUUAAAUGGUCUCGCUCCACCCAUGAUGGAAGAAAAAAAGGCUGACAACGAUAAAGGAGAAUAUUCAGAACAAUAUGGAUUAUUAUAUAAUGACCAGUGGUAUGUGAUUAUAUAAGCAUCCUGCCACCACCCACAUACUCAUCCUGCACACAUGGCCAGAAUGUUCAGGCAUUCAAUAAAAAGGUUACUUUAAAACCCUCA